AACCUAGCACACCUGCGGUGUGUACCUGCGGAAGGAUCAUUACAAGUGACCCCGGUCUAACCACCGGGAUGUUCAUAACCCUUUGUUGUCCGACUCUGUUGCCUCCGGGGCGACCCUGCCUUCGGGCGGGGGCUCCGGGUGGACACUUCAAACUCUUGCGUAACUUUGCAGUCUGAGUAAAUUUAAUUAAUAAAUUAAAACUUUCAGCAAUGGAUCU
rnacentral:misc_RNA from 1 species